ensembl:lncRNA
GGGAAUUCCCGGCUCCCAGGCCCCAACUGGGAUCCUGACGACGGAAGGGGCUUCGGUUCCCGGGCCCGGGCGCCCCCUGCGGGGAAGGACGAGCACUCGCAGCCGGCCGGCCGCAGGCGCAGGAAGGAGCGCGGAGGACGGGGGAUCGGCCCCACCUGCUCCUCCUCGGGGCGUCCCCGGUCCCGCACGGGAGCCCAGCCUGUGUGUUCCCGGCUCCUGCGGCCCCCUUGCUGGGGGGCUGGGAGGGGCAGCUGCUCCAGAGACUCCCCAGAGUGCCCGGACCCAAGUGCCAGGCGGUGGGCCGGCGCCCAGAGCCUUCUGCUGGCGGCCCGCGGGACACCUGCCACCCUGCGCUCGCCCACGGACACCUGCUCCCUGUACGAGCUGAGCCCGCGCAGGCGCCUCGCGGCUCCCGCCGGCAGUGCCCUUCCGUCCUCCAUGCCCACGUUUUGUCCGAGCCCACAUUAUUAGCAAAGUCCAGCGUCGGUGUCCCCACCGAGGGGAUCAAGUCACGACAGAGCGGACCCUGCGUCCAGGAACGGUGCUGCGGGCUAUUUAAUCGUCAGGCACUCUUGAGAGGAAUCACAAAUUCAGUGCCUGGGACGCCUGGGAGGCAACCCCAGAGAGGAAAGCCAACGGGCGAGCCGAGGGCCCAACACACUGCACCUCUCCCUGUGUCUGAAGAGGCCACUUCCACUCAGCUCCAGCCACAAGUGGCCAAGUCUUCCAACUUUUCACAAGAGAAAGCUGGAAGUCCAGAGUUUCAAGUGAAAUUACCAAGUAUUUAAAAUGCUGCCAGGGCCGAACUCAAUAGUCCCUAUUUUAUGGCCACACGUCCGUCACCUGGAAUCACCUACUCAUUCUUGGCCACAAAAGGUAAAUUAACUGCAUUCCCAUGCACGUGUGUGCCUUCCUUCACUUUACAGUCAGAGAGGCCUCCUAACUAACCUACCUCAGUAGCACCUUGUACCUCACUGGCACCUUGGUCUCAUUUUCUUCUACCUUCUGUGGAACUGUGCAUUUGUGAUUCACCACUGCAACCUGAAUUCUGUCCCCACUGCCCCGGGAGCAGCUCUCACCAAGGCUGCCAACGAUCUCCUUGCUGCAAAAUCCAGAGGAUUUGGAAGUUCUUAUUAUGUGACCUCUUGACAGCCUUCAGCUGCUGACUUCUUCCUCUAUCUGGAAACACUGCCUUUGCUCAGCCCCGCUGUGCAUCUCAGGGUUUCCCUUUUCACUCUCUGGCACCGCACGCUCUCAGUCUUUCCAGGCUUCUCUGCACACCAUCCCCUGAACGUAAGUGUCCCGAGGGCUCUGUCCCAGGCCCCCUCUCUGCUGGCUCCACACUCACUUCUUGUGGAUCAUCCAAUGCCCCACAGCUUGAGAAACAUGCCAAUGGGCCUCAGACCUCUCUCCAGCCCAGGCCCCCUUCGGAGCUUGCACCCACAGGGCCUGCUUCCUACUAGGUACGCACUGGUUCCAUCCUCUCAGCAGAUCCAAGACUGCUCCCCAGGGGGCAGAACUGCUCCUCCUCCUGUGUUGCCCAUCUCAGGGGAGUGCCACUGUCAAGCAGAAAUCAGGCCAACCUCACCACCCUCCAUCUCCCUAUCCAUCCUGUACCUGGUGAGUGUCUCUUCGGUCUUCUACUUCUCUCCAUCUCCUCUGGCACAGCUGUGGUCCACAGUCUCUACCACCUGUCACCUGGACUGCACACCUGCAGGUCUCCCGCCAGCCCCUCUUUAAAGGCAGCCAGUCAUCUUUCUAAAAUGCAUCCAUGUCAACGUCAUCCUA